rnacentral:rRNA from 1 species
CACGUAGGGGGCAAGCGUUGUCCGGAUUUAUUGGGCGUAAAGAGCUCGUAGGCGGUUCGGUAAGUUGGGUGUGAAACUCCAGGCUCAACCUGGAGACGCCACCCGAUACUGCUGUGACUAGAGUCGGUAGGGAGCGUGGAAUUCCUGGUGUAGCGGUGAAAUGACGCAGAUAUCAGGAGGAACACCAGCGGCGAAGGCGGCGA